rnacentral:lncRNA from 1 species
CAGGCGCCAGCCACCAUGCCCGGCUAGUUUUUGUGUUUUUAGUAGAGACGGGAUUUCACCAUGUUGCCCAGGCUGGUCUCAAACUCCUGAUCUCAGGAUGUCUCUCCUCCUCUAUUCUGCCUACCCAUCAUUCAAGGCCUAGCUGAAGCUCUGCCUCCUCCUUGAAGCCUUCAUUCUUCAUCAGGUCCACGGGGUGCCAUCUCUGCCAUCACGGCCUGGGGCCCCAUUAUGGCCCGGAUGCCCUGGGAUGCCCGCCAUCCAACCUGUGCAGGCCCCCUUGGGCAGGGGAAGCAGGACUCCGGGCCCUUGAGUCGUGGUUUCCUGGUCAUGACCGGGCAGAGCUAAUAGCAGUAGAACAGCUCCCAGCAACAGCAUCCUGAGCCCUGGAAUCCACAUGUGCACUGUCAGCCAUGGAGAGACAGACCCCACACACACACCCAGUUGGGACCUACAAAGGACUCCGUCCAUCUCAGCAGAGUCUACUUCUAGGAGCUGCUUUCUAAGUAUUCAACUUUUCCAGGAAGACUUUUCUGAAUAUUGCAGCCCACCUUGAUCUCUUUCUGCCCUGAAAUCUGUAAUACUUAGCAUUAUUCCCUGUGUGUAGUCUCCUUUCCUCACCAAGAUUAUGAAUUCAGUGAUUGCACAGAUGACACUCCUCUAAUUUUCCCAUGUCUGAGCACAGGACCAAGCACAGGGAAAGCUCCAAGAGUCGACUUGCCAAGAAUCCAUCCUUGGGUUUCCCAAGUACGAUGACACAGAUUGCUCCAUUCAAUGCUAACCAGCUUCUCUCCUCUGGCUCCUUUCUUCUUUUUCUUUCCCCCCUUCUCUCUCAUUUUCUGUGUCUAUUCCUCCUUCUUACUCUCUCAUUCUCUUUCUUCCUCUACCCCUCUCCUGGGGCACAUGUUUGACUAUUGGGUAUAUUACAUUUGCACACAUGCACACACACAAACACACACAGAGAAAAAGAGAGAGAGAGGGAGGGAGAGACUCACCUUGUGUUAAGCAGACAACGAGAGACACAUCAUCCCAUGAACAUAUCCCCUGGCCCUUUGUUUGCCUGAGCCAUCUUUAGCUGCCCCUCCUCCCCUGUCUAAUCUCUAUUCAGCUUUCAGGACCCAGUUUGGAUGUCAUCUGUUUCAAGAAGUCCUCCUUGUUCUCCAUCUCACUCCUUGGCUGGUUCUUUCCCCUCUGUGUUUCUCCAGUGCCCUGGUAAUAUGGUUUGGGUCUGUGUCCCCACCCAAAUAGCACGUCGACAUGUGUUGGAGAAGGGGCCUGGUAGGAGGUGACUGAAUCAUGGAGGCAGACUUAUCCCUUGCUGUUCUCAUGAUAGUAGGUGAAUUCUCACAAGAUCUGGUUGAAAGUGUGUAGCACUUCCCCUAUAUUCUCUCUCUCUCUCUUUCUCUCUCUCUCUCCUGCUGCUGUGUGAUGUGCUUGCUUCCCCUUCGCUCUUUCUUCCACCAUGAUUGUAAGUUUUCUGAGGCCUCCCCAGCCAUGCUUCCUGUACAGCCUGUGGAACUGUGAGUCAAUUAAACCUCUUUUCUUUAUAAAUUACCCAGUCUCAAGUAGUUUUUUACAGCAGUGUGAGAAUGGAUUUAUACACCUGGCUUAGCUCUAUCAUUGCACUCUGCUGUAAUUUCUGUUUUGCUCACCCAUUUCUCCAUUAAACAGCAAGUACCAGGGGACAAAGACUAACACACUAAUAGCAGAGUAGGGACUAAAUAAGCACUUUUAUAAUGAGGAAAAGAAAUCAUGAGAGAGCCAGAGAAAGGAAGGGAAGGAGGAAGGAAAAGAAGAAAGGAAGAUAAAAAGGAAGAGUGGAAGAGGGAAGGAAGGAGGGAGGGGGAAUGUAUUUGAAAUAUGUAUUCUGGAGCCCUAGCAAAGAGCUCAAGUGGCACAGGUAGUCAAAAGCCUCCCUGUCUCAAAAUCAUUCUUUGAUAUCCCCCUCCCAGAAAAGGGCCCAAUACAGGUAUAGGGACUUUUAUCCCCUCUCAGAUUCUGCCUCCGAUCUUAGGGGGAUCUUAGGCCUCCACCUCAGAUUGCUGAGGUCUUAG